GACAGAGGUGCCAAGCGGUUAGGCGGAAUCACUGGGCUUAAAGCGUGUGUAGGCGGGUGCCUAAGUACCUUGUGAAAUCCCCCGGCUCAACCGGGGAACGGCGUCGGGUAUACUGGGAUGCCUUGGGUCAUCUAGGGGCUGCCGGAACAAUGGUGGAGCGGUGAAAUGCGUAGAUAUCAUUUGGAACGCCAACGGCGAAAGCAGGCAGCUGGGGAUGCACCGACGCUGAGACACGAAAGCCAGGGGAGGCGAACGGG
rnacentral:rRNA from 1 species